rnacentral:rRNA from 1 species
AUGGCAAAGUUUUGGUGGAGCAACUCUAUUGACCGGAAAUCCUUGCAUUGGGUAGACUGGAAAUCUCGGUCACUUCCAAAGUGCAGAGGAGGCAUGGGAUUUCGAGAUUUGGAAUGCUUAAACAUUGCAUUGUUGGGUAAACACGGCUGGAGGUUGAUCACAAACCCGGACUCCUUAUGUGCUAGGAUACAAAAUGGCCGUUACUUUCCAACGAAUGAUUUUAUGAGUGCCACAGCGCCACGGAGCGCUUCUGCUACCUGGAGAGGGAUCAUGGCCGGAAGGAAGGCACUUGAGGUCGGCCUAAUGAAGCGAAUCUAUGAUGGCACCUCUGUGAACAUCUGGACUGAUAGGUGGCUCCCCGGGAAACUAUCACUGAGACCAUCAGUUCAGAUUGGGGGCGCCGCUCUCCACAUGGUUUCAGACUUAAUAGACAAUGAGAAUUGGUCCUGGAAAACUGAUCUCAUUAGGACUAACUUCACACCACCAGAUGAUGAUGCAAUUUUAAACAUACCUCUCAGGCAGGGAGGUGGUGAUGACUUCUAG